GAUGAACGCUGGCGGCGUGCCUAAUACAUGCAAGUCGAGCGAACAGAUGAGGAGCUUGCUCCUCUGACGUUAGCGGCGGACGGGUGAGUAACACGUGGAUAACCUACCUAUAAGACUGGGAUAACUUCGGGAAACCGGAUCUAAUACCGGAUAAUAUAUUGAACCGCAUGGUUCAAUAGUGAAAGACGGUUUUGCUGUCACUUAUAGAUGUAUCCGCGCCGCAUUAGCUAGUUGGUAAGGUAACGGCUUACCAAGGCAACGAUGCGUAGCCGACCUGAGAGGGUGAUCGGCAACACUGGAACUGAGACAAGGUCCAGACUCCUACGGGAGGCAGCAGUAGGGAAUCUUCCGCAAUGGGCGAAAGCCUGACGGAGCAAAGCCGCGUGAGUGAUGAAGGUCUUCGGAUCGUAAAACUCUGUUAUUAGGGAAGAACAAAUGUGUAAGUAACUAUGCAAGUCUUGACGGUACCUAAUCAGAAAGCCACGGCUAACUACGUG
rnacentral:rRNA from 1 species